CUCAGUUCAGAUUGCAGGCUGCAACUCGCCUGCAUGAAGUCGGAAUUGCUAGUAAUCGUAGGUCAGCAUACUACGGUGAAUACGUUCCCGGGCCUUGUACACACCGCCCGUCAAACCAUGAGAGUUGGCAACACCCGAAGUCGGUAGUCUAACCGCAAGGAGGACGCCGCCGAAGGUGGGGUUGAUGAUUAGGGUUAAGUCGUAACAAGGUAGC
rnacentral:rRNA from 1 species